rnacentral:misc_RNA from 1 species
GCCGACCGAGCGUCUUGCGCAACAGUUGCGCGAGCGGCUGGCUGCCAACACGAUGGCCGGCGGAUCACGUGCAGGCGAAGCGGAAGACGCACGCUUGAGGGCGGUCGAGCAGGAAGUACGAUCCGCCCAGGCCCAGUGGAUGCGGCUGGGACCCGUGCCGCCGCAGGUGGCCGGUCCGCUCAACGAGCGAUUCCAGCGAGCUUGUCGCCGGUUCUUCGAUCAGCGUCGACGCGCGUCGUAGCCCUUCGGACUGAGAUUCCUCCAUGAUUCGAACCCUCAUUCGGACUGUCGGUAUUGGUGUGCUUUGCGCGCCGAUGCUGCUCGCGCAGGCCGAAGGCCCGACGCUUCAGCCGUUGUGGACGCUCACGGGCGACUUCGCGUCACCAGAAAGCGCCUAUUACCACGCGGGCUCGAACUCGAUCUUCGUGUCGUCGAUAAACGGCCAGAUUCUCGAGAAGGAUGGGAACGGCUACAUCUCGCGCCUGUCGCCAGACGGCAAGAUGGUCAGUGCGAAGUGGGUAACCGGUCUCAACGCGCCCAAGGGCAUUCGCAGCCUGGGCGGCACGCUCUGGGUGACCGACAUCGACGAGGUCGUGUCGAUCGACAUCGCGACCGCGCGCAUCACCGCGCACGUCAAGGUCGAUGGCGCUCUGUUCCUCAACGAUCUGGCGACGGCGCAGGACGGAACUGUCUACGCGUCGGACUCGAACCUGGCGCGCGUCUACGCAGUCAAGGAUGGCAAGUCGUCGGUCUUCGCUGAGGGCGCCGAUCAGGUUGAUGUCCCGAAUGGACUGCUCGUUGAUGGGACGCGCCUGGUUCUUGGAACGAUCGGCGUCGCCAGCGCUCGGGGACGAGGGCCGGGUCGCGGCGCAGGACCGCCACCGAGCGGGCAUCUCUACGCCUUCGAUCUCACGACCAAGCAGCGCACACAACUCACGACGGACCCUGUCGGCGGGAUUGACGGGAUCGAACCGGACGGUCGCGGCGGCUUGCUGAUCACAGACGUGAUCGGCGCACGACUUCUGCAUGUGGCCCCGUCGGGGCAGACGCAAGUGCUCGCGAAGUUCUCAGGUGGGGGAGCCGACUUCGGCUACAUCGGGGCCAGGCGAAUCGCGGUCGUUCCGUUCCUCAACGCGAACACUGUCUCGGCCUACGACCUGACGGCUUCGCUGAAAUGAAAAGGCGUCAACCUUCAAGAUACGUGUAUCCGUGCAGGCCGUCUUCGUAGAAGCGAAGAAGCUUGCCGGCGCCCUCGUAGUCGACGCGUCCUUCACGCACCGCGGUCUCGACGUCCGUC